rnacentral:lncRNA from 1 species
GGCGGAGAGAAGAGGGCUAGGUUGACCACAUUUCGAAACUGUUGGGAAUUUUUCGCCUGCUUGCAUGGCAGACUUGUUCUUCUUCCGUCCUCAUGUCAGGCGCCACUUGACAUUUUCUCAUCAGACGAAGUAAGCCACUUUCAGGGUCGUUGCUUGCCAAUUAAAGAACUGUCGCUCCUAUUUCCUGAUCAGUCGCCCACAAACACGCAUCCCCCUCCAGCCCCCAAAUACAAACUCAAACGCGCGCUCACACGCACGCACGCACGCAGUUUGAAAGGAGCGGUAAAUACUGGGCGACAAUGUGCAGCCAUGUAAAAGCGGUUGAAAACGGUUUAUAAUCAAAAUUUCAGUUCUCUUCGCAACAAAUGCUAAUUAUCUGAUAUUUUACUCGUUUCAUCAACUCUCAUCACCACUAUCUCUAUUUUCAAUGUUCGUUUAUACUUAAUAUUUCCGGAAAAUGAGCAUUUUCGACAUCUGCCACCAUUUUGCGAGACUGGCCGCACGUAAACACGAGCUACGGCCUGCCAACGGACCUCUCACGUGACUCACAGGAGGAUACUACUAUCCCAAGAUCAAGCAUGUCUACGUUUUGAAGGUGAUAUUUGUAAAUAAAGUGAAAUAAUGUGAGUUCCAGCCUUUUGAAUUAGUGUACAUUGGACUCACAGUACUUGAACUGAAUGAGAUAGCCUGUUCACUGUAGUGAACAAUUUAGUGAUUCUAUUCACUUUUAGUUUCUCUAGUUUAGGCUCUGUGUUUUGAUAGUCACAGUAAGGCAUACCACGCUCACAAAAUGAAAAAAAAAAUUAAAAAAUGGGGUGAGAUAGUUUGGUAAUUACAAAUUUCAAUUUAUUUUUUCAACAUCAACUUUAAAAUUCCAAAUUGGGAUUUACGUUUUUCACGUUUGAAUAUUUUCAGGACAGUUUUUGAUUAAUGUUUUUGUCAGUCCAAUAAUGAAGUUGUCUUGCAAGAGAUUGUUAAUUCCCAGUUGUUUUAUUUUAAACAUGUACUUAUUUUGCUUUGAUAAAACAAAUGCGCUUUCUUCGAGAUUUUCUUGUCUAUGUGUAGUGGUUACCGAUUAUUUCAAAGCCAGUUAAUUCUUACAGGUUUGUCAUUUAAAUCUACAUAUGAUGUUUCUCAAGCAGUAUGCCUAAAAAUGUUGAAUUGAAAAGUAUAAACAUACAAAACGACACAUAUAUAAAUUUAUUAUAUUUUGGUUGUUUUCUUUACGGAGGUUUCAAAGGUCAAAGUCAGAUAAAGAUUCUAACAUAUUAAUAAACAGUGUAGUAAAAAGUGGCUGUGACUAAGCAAGAAAUAAGCAGACAUCUUCUAUCAUCUAAGAAAGACAACGAUAAAGAUUACUGUGCACCAUUAUUAAAGUUUUUAUAUCACUCCCUUCACAUGAUGAUACCACCAUACACAGAAAUGAUAAAAUAUAACUCUUCAUCCACACUAUCAACACUUUAUUUCUUUAGAUGUAUGUGGGAAUGGUGGACAUACGCCUCAUGGAAAUGUCACUGAGAAGAGAAUGCCAAACAAUACUAAAACCGUACUUUAAGGUGUUUCGAAAUCCAACCAGAAAAGUCAAAAAUGGAAGUAAAAAAGGCACGGACGGGAAGAUUCGAAACAGGGAAAUUGAAGGAAAGCCUCUUCUGCGUAUCCUCAUAUUCAAGGGUUGGAGUGGUCUCAACUGAAGGUCGAUCAAGUGCAUGACCCCAUGACAUGACCUUCAGACACCUCAUAUCACAACACGGGUGGCGGGUGUGGCCUCUACAUGCACUGAUCACUCGUGCACAGUCUCGAGACUGUUCUACCUGCCAGGUGUAGGAGCUCAUCAACCUUGACCGUAGUCCUAAAUCAGUGUCAUAAUAAAUUUAUAUUAAAUAUCGCAUUCAUCGAACGUAUCCAGAAAUAUAUGUGUUGAGGAUGAAAUCCAAUAAGAUGUACGGAAAGUUGAGGUAUAUUGAAUGAAGUUUGUCCAGGAGAAAUUAAUUUGUGACCUACCCCACUGACCCAGCCAACUUUAGCAACAGACUUGGCAAGUGUUGGCUGAGGAGUCUGCUAACAAGACCAAAGUACACUUUACCCCUUUGCAGCAAGGAGAAGUCACAAAUAACAACUACGGGUGUGUUUGUAUUCAGUUCAUGAAGUAUUUCAACCCUGGAGUUUAUUAUACUUUUAAAAAAUAUGACAGUUCUGCUUGCAGUAACAGCAGUUUGACAUUAUGCUUAUUCAGAGACAUGCAUAACUAACAUAUGAACAGCUCUCCUAUUUUCUGUUGUCUUCACAGCAUAAAUCAGAUAAGUGUACACAUUGUAACUUGUUGUUUGUUGACUACUUACAGUGCAGAGUGAAGUUUUAAUGUGUGUAUCUUGAGAAUGGAACGUGGGCAUUAACACACUUUUUGGAAAAUAGUAUCUUGCUGAGCUUUACUUUACUUAUCAGAAAAAAAUUGUAACUCACUUGACCUCUAGAUUGCAGCUAUUAUAUAUACAUAAAGCGUGCCCUCAAUCUAUGUAAUCCAAUUUAUUAGACUAGAAAAAGAAAUGAACGCGAGGAAAAUGUCAUAGUUUUCUUUCUUCACUUCAUGACUGAGUUGUAUUUGGGUUUGACUUCUUACUAGGAUUAUGAUGCCCUCGACUGUUGAUGUAAUGAUUAGCAAGUCUAGGAGAGCGCCGUCCUGCCGGCAUCAACUCCUCUCUCUCUUAUAGAGAGAAAUGACAUAGUCAAAAAUGCCCGCUUAGUUGUUUUUUUUUUUGUUGUUUUUUUUUAACUUGGAACCAAGGGUAACAUCUUAAAACUAGUAAAAUAAAUACUAAAGAUGCUCCAGACCAAAAUACCGAGACAAAAAUUGUCGAAGACUUAACCCCACAUGUAUUCCUGCGAAUUUGGUCAGGAUCAGACAACCCGGGAAAUAUUUACAUAUUGCUCAAUCCGAACUUUCGUUCCCUUACCCUUUUACCCACCCAGC